UGGGGCCCGGCACCCUACCCACUGAGCCAGAGGCGCCGCCCCUCUCUGUGGUUUCUUGUAGCCAAAACCAAGACAAACAUGGACUUUGUUUUGUUUAAAGAGAACAUGCUGUUGUGGAUUCUGCCUCACUUCUAGGCUGCCAGGUGAUCCUUCUUCUCCAUGAAGCCUCUAACAGUAAGAAGUGACUAGAGACGAAACACAGCCCCAGGAGCACAUCAGAGCUCCAGCUGAAGAGAAAGGAUCCUAUUUCCUCAUGGAGUUCUUGGAGCUUGUCAGCCCCCAGCAUGCUGGAUGGGACUGAGGAUGUAAAUCAGCAGGACCAGGCCUACAACUGUCGGCCGCAAAGAACCGUAUGGCUGACUUGAGGACGUCCAUGGGCUGUACCCCCUCUUCUCACCUAGCAACAGAAUGAUGGCUUAGGC